AUGCCCUGAGGGACUAAAGUUGAAAACUCAUAGGACAGAGGGACAAGUGUCCCAGGAUAAGGACAGAAGGGUUGUGAAAACAAGCCCCAGACCCAGCUAUCAUAAAAUGAACUAGUGGAAAGGAGUAAGGUAUUUAAAAAACAACAACAACAACAACAACAACUAGAAAGGGAUAAACUACAAAUGACCUAAGACUAGGAGUAUUCUAAAGACUAUUCCUUGGAAAAGCCAGAAUAAUGGGCCUACAGGUACAGAUGUAUAUCAGGGAGAAGCUGUUUGUGCCCCUCUUGUCUGUGGGGUUUUCAGGAGCCAGAAGAAGACACUUGUACAGAUUCCCACUCUAGGGUGGAACACUGUCCCUGCCUCUUCUUCUUCCUGUGUGCUGACCAGGCUGCAACAGUACAGACAUUUGGAUUGAAACAGAAAGAGCUCAGAAGCC